rnacentral:rRNA from 1 species
GAUGAACGCUAGCUACAGGCUUAACACAUGCAAGUCGAGGGGCAGCGCAGUGUAGCAAUACAUGGGCGGCGACCGGCGCACGGGUGCGUAACGCGUAUCCAACCUUCCCGUUACUCAGGGAUAGCCUUCCGAAAGGGAGAUUAAUACCUGAUGGUGUUCAAAUUCCGCAUGUUAUUUGAACUAAAGAUUCAUCGGUAACGGAUGGGGAUGCGUGACAUUAGAUAGUAGGCGGGGUAACGGCCCACCUAGUCUACGAUGUCUAGGGGUUCUGAGAGGAAGGUACCCCACACUGGAACUGAGACACGGUCCAGAGUCCUACGGGAGGAAGCAGUGAGGAAUAUUGGUCAAUGGUCGGAAGACUGAACCAGCCAAGUAGCGUGAAGGAUGAAGGUUCUAUGGAUUGUAAACUUCUUUUAUACGGGAAUAAAACCUCCCACGUGUGGGAGCUUGUAUGUACUGUAUGAAUAAGCAUCGGCUAACUCCGUGCCAGCCGCCGCCGUAAGAC